rnacentral:rRNA from 1 species
UACGUAGGGUGCGAGCGUUGUCCGGAAUUAUUGGGCGUAAAGAGCUCGUAGGCGGUUUGUCACGUCUGCUGUGAAAACUGGAGGCUCCACCUCCAGCUUGCAGUGGGUACGGGCAGACUAGAGUGCGGUAGGGGAGAUUGGAAUUCCUGGUGUAGCGGUGGAAUGCGCAGAUAUCAGGAGGAACACCGAUGGCGAAGGCAGAUCUCUGGGCCGUAACUGACGCUGAGGAGCGAAAGCGUGGGGAGCGAACAGG